AUAGAAGUGUUUUUUUUUUCUGGAAAAAUUGAAAACUACAUUCAAAUUCGAAUCUGAGAAAGAGGUUUUAAAUCUACGAAGACCCAGAUAUCGAAUAGAAAUCAUAGUUCCCAAAAAAGAAAGGGUUUUUAAAAACUAAAGGAGGUUCGAAUCCGAGAAAACAAAAACACAAAACUUUAAAACCUUCGAACCCAAAAAAGCAUUGCAAUCACAAAAAAAAAAAAAAAACAGAAUCCAUGGAAUACACGCGAUCAAUAGAAACUUUCAACAAAUUAGACAAACAAAACCUUGCAUUGGUGAUGAUGUCCUGUUGGAGAAAGCUUCAAUCGGUGUUCCAAUGGAAAAACAAAAAAC
rnacentral:lncRNA from 1 species